rnacentral:rRNA from 1 species
AGUGAACGCUGGCGGUAGGCCUAACACAUGCAAGUCGAACGGCAGCACAGUAAGAGCUUGCUCUUACGGGUGGCGAGUGGCGGACGGGUGAGGAAUACAUCGGAAUCUACUUUUUCGUGGGGGAUAACGUAGGGAAACUUACGCUAAUACCGCAUACGACCUACGGUUGAAAGCAGUGGAUCUUCGCACCUUGCGCGAUUGAAUGAGCCGAUGUCGGAUUAGCUAGUUGGCGGGGUAAAGGCCCACCAAGGCGACGAUCCGUAGCUGGUCUGAGAGGAUGAUCAGCCACACUGGAACUGAGACACGGUCCAGACUCCUACGGGAGGCAGCAGUGGGGAAUAUUGGACAAUGGGCGCAAGCCUGAUCCAGCCAUACCGCGUGGGUGAAGAAGGCCUUCGGGUUGUAAAGACCUUUUGUUGGGAAAGAAAAGCAGCAGGUUAAUACCCCGCUGUUCUGACGGUACCCAAAGAAUAAGCACCGGCUAACUUCGUG